rnacentral:rRNA from 1 species
GCAUGGAGAUGAUAUGAAAUAUGCUACGGCAUAGGUAGAGGAUGGACUUAUGGCGCAUUAGCUAGUUGGAGGGGUAACGGCCCACCAAGGCGACGAUGCGUAGCCGACCUGAGAGGGUGACCGGCCACACUGGGACUGAGACACGGCCCAGACUCCUACGGGAGGCAGCAGUAGGGAAUUUUCGGCAAUGGGGGAAACCCUGACCGAGCAACGCCGCGUGAAGGAAGAAGUAAUUCGUUAUGUAAACUUCUGUCAUAGAGGAAGAACGGUGCGUGUAGGGAAUGACAUGCAAGUGACGGUACUCUAUAAGAAAGCCACGGCUAACUACGUGCCAGCAGCCGCGGUAAUACGUAGGUGGCGAGCGUUAUCCGGAAUUAUUGGGCGUAAAGAGGGAGCAGGCGGCACUAAGGGUCUGUGGUGAAAGAUCGAAGCUUAACUUCGGUAAGCCAUGGAAACCGUAGAGCUAGAGUGUGUGAGAGGAUCGUGGAAUUCCAUGUGUAGCGGUGAAAUGCGUAGAUAUAUGGAGGAACACCAGUGGCGAAGGCGACGAUCUGGCGCAUAACUGACGCUCAGUCCCGAAAGCGUGGGGAGCAAAUAGGAUUAGAUACCCUAGUAGUCCACGCCGUAAACGAUGAGUACUAAGUGUUGGGAGUCAAAUCUCAGUGCUG